rnacentral:tRNA from 1 species
GCCUGGGUGGCUCAGUCAGUUAAGUGUCUGCCUUUGGCUCAGGUCGUGAUCCCAGGGUCCUGGGUUCGAGCCCCACCUCAGGCU